GCGUGCUAAGGUGUGGCAAGCGGAAACGCCCCAAAGCCCUACUUUUAGGCUUAGGACACCUAAGGCACGCCCAUU
rnacentral:sRNA from 1 species